AGGGAUUGCCCUAGUAACGGCGAGUGAAGCGGCAACAGCUCAAAUUUGAAAUCUGGCUCUUUUAGAGUCCGAGUUGUAAUUUGCAGAGGGCGCUUUGGCUUUGGCAGCGGUCCAAGUUCCUUGGAACAGGACGUCACAGAGGGUGAGAAUCCCGUACGUGGUCGCUGGCUAUUGCCGUGUAAAGCCCCUUCGACGAGUCGAGUUGUUUGGGAAUGCAGCUCUAAAUGGGAGGUACAUUUCUUCUAAAGCUAAAUAUUGGCCAGAGACCGAUAGCGCACAAGUAGAGUGAUCGAAAGAUGAAAAGCACUUUGGAAAGAGAGUCAAACAGCACGUGAAAUUGUUGAAAGGGAAGCGCUUGCAGCCAGACUUGCUUACAGUUGCUCAUCCGGGUUUCUACCCGGUGCACUCUUCUGUAGGCAGGCCAGCAUCAGUUUGGGCGGUAGGAUAAAGGUCUCUGUCACGUACCUCCUUUCGGGGAGGCCUUAUAGGGGAGACGACAUACUACCAGCCUGGACUGAGGUCCGCGCAUCUGCUAGGAUGCUGGCGUAAUGGCUGUAAGCGGCCCGUCUUGAAACACGGACCAAGGAGUCUAACAUCUAUGCGAGUGUUUGGGUGUCAAGCCCGAGCGCGUAAUGAAAGUGAACGGAGGUGGGAACCCGCAAGGGUGCACCAUCGACCGAUCCUGAUGUCUUCGGAAGGAUUUGAGUAAGAGCAUGGCUGUUGGGACCCGAAAGAUGGUGAACUAUGCUUGAUAGGGUGAAGCCAGAGGAAACUCUGGUGGAGGCUCGCAGCGGUUCUGACGUGCAAUCGAUCGUCAAUUUGGGCAUAGGGGCGAAAGACUAAUCGAACUAUCUAGUAGCUGGUUCUGCCGAAAGUUCCCUCAGGAUAGCAAUAACGUAAUUCAGUUUAAGAGCUAAAGCGCGAAUGGAUUUAAAGAGCCCGGGGGG
rnacentral:rRNA from 1 species